ACCAUCCAGUUGCCUUACCCAUCAGAUCUGAACACUGGUCGGAGUAGCCAUGGAGGGAGGAAGAGAAACGCGGAAACCGGCUUCACUAAAGCUAGGAGUUGCAAAGAGCUGUAAAGAACAUGG
rnacentral:snoRNA from 1 species